AAGAGACAGCAGUCGCCGCGGGAAUACGUAGGGUGCAAGCGUUAAUCGGAAUUACUGGGCGUAAAGCGUGCGCAGGCGGUUAUAUAAGACAGUCGUGAAAUCCCCGGGCUCAACCUGGGAACUGCGAUUGUGACUGUAUGGCUAGAGUGUGUCAGAGGGGGGUAGAAUUCCACGUGUAGCAGUGAAAUGCGUAGAUAUGUGGAGGAAUACCGAUGGCGAAGGCAGCCCCCUGGGAUAACACUGACGCUCAUGCACGAAAGCGUGGGGAGCAAACAGGAUUAGAUACCCCCGUAGUCCCUGUCUCUUAUAC
rnacentral:rRNA from 1 species